GCGCUCGUGGUGAAAUUGGCAGACACGCCAGACUUAGGAUCUGGUGCCGUAAGGUGUGGGGGUUCAAGUCCCUCCGGGCGCACCA
rnacentral:tRNA from 1 species